GAAAGCCGUGUGCGGGAAAACCGCACGCACGGUUUGAUGAGGAGGGAUGAGGAGGGAUGAGGAGGGGGGAUAGGGUACUGUUCCCUACUCUAC
rnacentral:ncRNA from 1 species